rnacentral:rRNA from 1 species
UGGGGAAUAUUGCACAAUGGGCGCAAGCCUGAUGCAGCCAUGCCGCGUGUAUGAAGAAGGCCUUCGGGUUGUAAAGUACUUUCAGCGGGGAGGAAGGUGAUAAGGUUAAUAACCUUGUCGAUUGACGUUACCCGCAGAAGAAGCACCGGCUAACUCCGUGCCAGCAGCCGCGGUAAUACGGAGGGUGCAAGCGUUAAUCGGAAUUACUGGGCGUAAAGCGCACGCAGGCGGUCUGUCAGGUCGGAUGUGAAAUCCCGGGCUCAACCUGGGAACUGCAUUCGAAACUGGCAGGCUAGAGUCUUGUAGAGGGGGGUAGAAUUCCAGGUGUAGCGGUGAAAUGCGUAGAGAUCUGGAGGAAUACCGGUGGCGAAGGCGGCCCCCUGGACAAAGACUGACGCUCAGGUGCGAAAGCGUGGGGAGCAAACA